CUGACACUCAUUUAAGAUUUCAGAAGGAUAAUUAACCAGUGACUGGGGUGUAGAGGUGACAAAUUACGAAAACAUGAAGCCUGUUAUUGUUGCUGUUUUGGUGUUGUUGCUCUUCAGCCAGAAUGAAGCCUUGCGGUGUCACUGUGGAGGCAGAAAUCAGUGUUCAGGUCCUGUAGACUUCUGCUAUGGCCCUACCAGCGUCUGUAUGCAUGCCGUCUUUCGGAACGUACCUGGAUAUUAUAUUAAAGGCUGCUCAACAUUAAACAUCUGUAAGUUCUAUGACAGACCCGGUAUUACUGUCACUUGCUGUGAUACUGACCUCUGCAACUGAAACAAAUAUCUGGCUGAUA